CAAUGGGAUAUCUUUAGUAAUUGCGAAUGAACAAGGAUAUGCUUAGCUUGACAAAUGGAGCUAUUGGCUUUGAAUUGUAUUGUGGAAAUGUAUUACCAACAGAGGUGCAGGUGCCAGCCUAUUGAAAUAAAGCGUCAAUGAGGGUGAGAAUCCUGUUUGUCAUGUGCAGCCCUUUGUGCACGGUGUAUAUUUGCUGAGUCACACUCCUUGGCAUUGGAAUGCAAAGUGGGUGGUAAGUUUCAUGUAAAGGUAAACAUGCAAUUGAGACUGAUAGCACACAAGUACCAUGAGGGAAAUAUGAAAAGGACUUUGAAAAGARAAUUAAAUGAGUUUGUAUUUGCUGAACACAAAGUAAACAGACUUGAUUUGCUUGGUGGGAGUGUUGCACUUGCUUGACAAGAGCUUUGGGCUGUGGGUGUAAUGAUUCUUUCUUUGCAUGCCAGUUUCUAUUUGUACAUCUGAUUACCUUUGCACAUGAAUGAUAAGUCUCCUGUGGGGGGUGGAUUGCAUGUGCAUGUAAUGAUUUGUGUUUUGAUAAAUGUGUCUGGUGUAUGUGUGUGUUCCUGUGCUUGGGGAUGCUUCCUUCCUUGGACUUCCAAGCCCUGACACACACAUGCUGGCAAAAUGCUUYUGCUUGACCCKUCUUGAAACMCGGACCAAGGAKUYUAMCAGAUGUSCAAAGUUUGAAGGUGGUAUACCUUUGUGUGCAAUGAAAGUGUCAGCUGGGAUAUGUGCACCAGCACCCAAUUAAUUAGCGGACAGAGGUUUGAGUUGGAGCAUAUCUAUUAGGACCCGAAAGAUGGUGAACUAUGCCUGAACAGAAUGAAUUCAGAGGAAACUCUGAUGGAGGUUCGUAUCGAUACUGACGUGCAAAUCGUUCGUCAUAUUUGGGUAUAGGGGCGAAAGACUAAUCGAACCAUNUAGUAGCUGGUUCCCUCCGAAGUUUCCCUCAGGAUAGCUGGAGUUGCUCAGUUUUAUCAGGUAAAGCGAAUGAUUAGAGGAAUUGGGGACAGGUUUGUCUUUGACCUAUUCUCAAACUUUAAAUGGGUAAUAUGUAGUGGUUGCUGUAUGGAACUUCUAAGAUAAAUGGCAAUAUUGGGUGGGCCAUUUUUGGUAAGCAGAACUGGCGAUGAGGGAUGAACCUAAUGUGGGGCUAAGGUGCUUAAUUACUUGCUCAUUUGAUACCAGAAAGGGUGUUGGUUCAUUUUAACAGCAGGACGGUGGUCAUGGAAGUCGAAAUCCYCUAAGGAGUGUGUAACAAYUCACCUGCCGAAUGGACUAGCCCCGAAAAUGGAUGGCGCUCAAGCGGGUGACUGAUACCCAACCAUUGUUGUAAACAACAUCAAUGUGUAGGAGGGCAUGGUGGCUUGUGACACAGCCUUUGG
rnacentral:rRNA from 1 species